GAAAGUUUACAAAUCAAGUCAGUCUCUCAUAUAAAAACUUAAACACAUCUUGCUAUGUCCUCCUAGUUGCUCUCCCCGUAAUGAGACAGCAUGCUCCUCCUCUCCACCCUGUAUUCCCCGUGUCCAUUCAGCCAGCUUCUGACCCCCUCUGCCCUCUCAUCUCCCCUCCAGACAGGAGCUGCCAACUUAGUCUCAUGUGUCUACUUGAUCCAAGAAGCUCACUCUUCACCAGUAUCAUUUUCUAACCCAUAGUCCAGUCCAAUCCCUGUCUGAAGAGUUGGCUUUGGGAAUGGUUCCCGUCUUGGGCUAACAGAAGGCCUGGGGACCAUGAGCUCUGGGGCCCUUCUAGUCUCAGUCAGACCAUUAAGUCUGGUCUUUUCACGAGAAUUUGAGGUCUGCAUCCCACUGCUCUCCUCCUCCUUCAGGGGUUCUCUUUCGUGUUCCUUGUCAGGGCAGUGAUUGGUGGUAGUCGAGGACCAUCUAGUUCUUCUGGUCUCAGGCUGAUGUAGUCUCUGGUUUAUGUGGCUCUUUCUGUCUCUUCAGGUCAUAAUUACCUUGGAGACAGCAUGCUUUUGACAGAAGGGAGCUCAUCCCUCUUGUUGACAUUCAACGGAUUCUAGCUGUCAGUUGACUGCCCAUGCCCCAAGUUCACCUCCUGACAUAUCUGCAUGGGUUACCCCCGCCCGCCACCCAGGACACACUCUAGGACGCUUCUGAACCUAAGAAGAGUGUGGGGGACUCACAUCCCUGCCACAUCCCUUGAGGGAGUAGAUCUGAAUUAGUUUGGAAUUUCCAGAGUGGGAGCUUAAGAGCCCCUGUUAUCAGCAACAGCUCCACCUGGCUACUGUAAAGCUAUAGGUCUGGGCCCAACCCAGACUGCAUUGGAGGAUAUAAGCAAACCCAACCUAGGGUCAAAAAGAUCCUAUUAUCUCUGGAAUGCCAUUCAAGAUGGACACUAGGUUUACUCGAAACUAGAAUCAAGAUCAAGCUGUCCAGCAAAAUGCUGGUAAUAAGGAGCCCUGCUGGCACAACGGAAACCCUGGUGGCAUGGUAGUUAAGAGUUCAGCUGCUAACCAAAAGGUCAGCAGUUUGAAUCUACCAGGUGCUCCUUGGAAACCCUAUGGGGCAGUUCUAUGCUGUUUAACGGGCUCACUAUGAGUUGGAAUUGACUCAACUGCAAUGGGUUUGGUUUUUGGUGGCACAACAGCUAAGCAUUCAACUGCUAACCCAAAGGCUGGCUGUUCAAACUCACCCAAAGGUUGGCUGUUCAAACUCACCCAGUGACUCAAUGGGAAAAAGAUCUGGAGAGCUGCUCCUGUAAACAGUACAGCCUAGAAAACCCUACAGGGCAGUUCUAUCCUGCUACGUGGAGUUGCCGUAAGUUGAAAUUGACUGAACGGCACCUAACAACUGUAACACCAGGUCACAGUUAGAGAUACGGAGGAGAAUAAUGGAGAAGAUGAUUCUUGAUGGGAGCGGUCAUAUUCUGGAUAUGUUUUGAGUGAGAACUAAUGGACUUUUCUGAUGGAUUAGAUGUAGGGUGUGAGAGAAGGAGAGGAGUCAACACUGAAGGCCAGAGUAUCUAGAUGAAUGGAAACACCAUUUGCUUAUCUGGGAAAUCCAAGGAAAGAGCAGGCGUGGCAGUGGCAGUGGGGUUGUGUUAGGUUUGAGAUUGGGUCAUCCCCAUGGUAAUGUUGGGUAAAGAACUGAAUAUAUGAGUUGAGUUCUGGAAAGAGGUCUGGGCUGGAUGUGUACAUUUGAGAGCUGGUGUAUAAAUGGGCGUUAUAUAUUGAAUUGUAGAGGGCAAAGAUAUGUUGGGGGCAGAGGUGGUUCAGUGGUAGAAUUCUCGCCUCCCAUGAGGGAGACCUGGGUUCGAUUCCUGGCCAGGGCACUUCAUGAAAAGCCACCACCCAUCUGUCAGUGGAGGCUUGCGUGUUGCUGUGAUACCGAUAGGUUUCGGCAGAGCUUCCAAAUUAAGAUGAACUAGGAAGAAAGGCCUGGGAACCUACUACUGGAAAUCAGCCAGUGGAAAUGCUAUGGAUCACAAUAGCCUGAUCUGCAGCUGAUCACGGGGAUGGUGCAGGGCCAGGCAGUGCUCUUUUCCAUUGAGCAUGGGGUCACCAUGAGUCGGGGGCUGGCUAGAUGGCAGCUAACAAAAAUAACAAAACAGAUAUGCUGCAAUUCUAACCCCCGAACCUGUGAAUGUGACCAGUGUUUAGAAAUAGGGCCUUUGAAGAUGUUAUCUGUUCGCGUGAAGUCAUGCUGGAGUAGGGUGGCUCUUAAUCCCAUCUGAAAACCCAAACCAAACCUGUUGCUGUUGAGUCGAUUUCAACUCACAACAACCCUAUAGGACAGAGUAGAACUGCCCCCAUAGAGUUUCCAAGGAGUGGUUGGUGGAUUUGCAUUGCCAGCCUUUUGGUUAGCAGCCAAGAUCUUAUCCACUGUGCCACCAAGGCUCCAAUCCCAUCUGAGUGGUGUCCUUAUAAAAGAGAAGAGACAAGAGAGGCUCACAGAAGACAGCCGUGUGAGCAUACAUCCACAAGCCAAAGAAUGCUGGGAGAGGCAACAAGGAUCUCCCCCAGAGCUGGCGGAGAGAGACAGCGUGGCCCUGUCAACUUGCUGAUUUGGACUUCCGGGCUCCAGAACUGUGACAAUAAGUUUCUGUUCUUUAAAGCCGCCCAAGUUGUGUUACUUUGCUAAGCCCAUUCUGGGAGACCCAGACAAAGGAAUUUAAAGCCGCAGGAAUAAAUCAGCUCACAGAUGACUAAGUGUGCCCCAGACAGGAUAAACAGAGGCCGAUUAGUGUGACAUUUCAAAUCCACGGAAUUUCAAACUUUGGGGAAAAAAAAAAAAUGACAAUGGCACAACUAUUCAACUAGUUGGAAGGAAAAUGAAUUUGUACCUCACACCUCACAUCAAAAUAAACCUCCACGUGGAUCAAAAAUGUGACAGAAAAAGUGGGACUGUAUGAGCACGCACCUGUGGUCCUGUACCAGAGCUCUGGAGCAGAGCGACCCGAUUCAAACCCAAGUACGAGCUCUGUGACUGUGUGAAAGGGUCCCAGCCCAGCCCCUCUGUGUCCCCCGCUCCUCACCUGUAAGAUGGAGAAAUGGCAUGGCGACCUCACAGGGUUAGUAGGGGACAUGUGCUAAUGUGGAGGCCUGGCGGCCCAGUGGUUAAGAGCUCAGCAGCUAACCUAAAGGUCGGCAGUUCGAAUCCCCCUGCCACUCCUUAGAAGCCCUAUGGGGCAGCUCUACUCUGUCACAUGCGGUCCACACAAGUGGGAAUCGACUAGAUGGCACACAACAACAACAACAAUGUGUUAAUGUAGGGAGUGCCAGGGAGUCGGGGCUGAUCAAGGAGAAGGAUAUGACCAUGAGACAGCAACGUUGCACAACGAGCUAUUUACCAGAUCAAGACAUUGACAGCCGCAUGCGGGGGCGGUCCCCUCAGCAGCAGGUCUUCCAGAGGCAAGUGGAGCCGAGAGCCACCAGAAGGGGAAGAGGGCGAGGGAGGGUGCUUACGCGCACGUAGGCAGGUUCUUCUGCAGCGGCUUAUUUACGCCAAAGAAUCCCAACGCUGGAUCUCCCACGUCUGAAGGACAAAGCGUUACAUACACACACAGCAAGGGGUGGCAGGGCUGUAAGAAGAGAGUUUAAUUUUCCCCCACUACAAGUCUCCAGCUUCAGCCUCAGUGGAAACAGUGCUUCCGCCCCAUCUCUCAGGAGACUCAUGGUCAGCCAGAUCCUGCUACCCAGAGCCACUCUUGCACAGGAGGCCAAGUUCUGCAAAAGGUGCCACCUGAGACUCUGCCACCUGUAACUUGGACACCUCAGAUGGACUCAGAUGAACCUGGAGGCACGGGGGCUCCGGGGAGAGCACCGUGUGGCAGAGGCGGAAUGGAGCCUUCUCGCUGUAAGCCUUUUUUUAAUUUACAACAAUGUGAACACAUUACUUCAUCAAAAACAAUAAAAUAAAUUGCAAGCAUGCUUAAAGAAAAUCCAUGUAACAGACCAGAGAAGUAAAGACACAUGACCAUCUCAAGGGCUGCAGAAAUUCUCCUGAUAAACUUCAACAUCUGUUGGUGACUUUAAAAAAAUGAUGAUUGUGUCUAUCACACAACUUCCCCCCAUUCUACUUUUUACAGGAGUACAAAUGGUUGACAGCAAAAAUGGCAAUCAGCUGUGCAGCCCUGCCCUUGAUCAAUGUGAUUGUCCCAUCAGUGUAAACCGAAACCCAGAGCUCUAUAAGUGAUGACCUCUCCAGGGGGCAGUGAGUUACGUUAAUGGGGAAGGAACAAUUCAGAAAAGGAGGGUGCGAAUGGUUGCACAACUUGAAGAAUGUAAUCAAUGUCACUGAAUUGUUCACGUAGAAACUGUUGAAUGGGUGUAUAUUCUGCUGUGUAGACUCUCGUCACCAACAGCAAAAAUAAAAUAAAUUAAAAAAAUUAUCACAACCAAUUGGAAAUUGAAAGGAACUUCCUUAACCUGAUGACAGUGACCACAAACCUACAGUAAACACUGUACUUGAUGGUGAACUAUUAAAAGCAUCUCCCUAAAAUCAACCAUGCAACAAUAAUACCCAUGGCCACUACUUGUUUGCUUGUUUUUCCAAUAUUGGCAGAAGGCCUAGUCAGUCCAGAGAUUAAAUCAAUCAAUAAACAAAGGAGAAAAAGGUACAGGCAAUUGAAAGGAAGGAAGAAAAUUCUUGUCAUUCUCAGAUAAUAUGACUAUUUACCGAGAAAGUCCAGAAGUAUUUAUUAGAACAAAAAAUAUUAGACUUUUAGAAUAAUUAAGAAUAUUUAGCCCCUGUCAUGGAUUCAAUUGUGUCCCCCCAAAAACGUGUAUAUCAACUUUGUUAGGCCAUGAUUCCCAGUAUUGUGUGGUUGUCCUCCAUUUUGCAAUUGUAAUUUUAUGUUGAAAGGAUUAGGGUGGGAUUUGUAACACAAGCCUUACUCAGGUCACCUCCCUGGUCCAAGGUAAAGGGAGUUUCCCUGGGGUGUGGCCUGCACCACCUUUCAAAUCUCAAGAGAUGAAAGGGAAGCAAGCAGAGAGUUGGGGACCUCAUACCACCAAGAAAGUAGCAGAGAAGGAGCAGAGCAUACUUCCUUUGGACCCGGGGUGUCUGCUUCUCAGAAGCUCCUCAACUAGGUGAAGAUUGAGAGAAGGACCUUCUUCCUGAGCACACAGAGAGAAAGCCUUCUGCUGGAGGUGACGCCCUGAAUUUGGACUUGUAACCUACUAGACAGUGAGAAAAUAAAUUUCUCUUUGUUAAAGCCACCCACUUGUGGUACUUCUGUUAUGGCAGCACUAGAUAGCCAAGACAGCCAUGCAUACAUACACAUAAAAACAAAAAGAGAUAAAUCUUUUCAAACCAAUCAGUGGCUUCAGUCUAAUUCUAAUCAAUAUCAUGACAAAGUUUUUCAUGAAAAUAGACAAGCUGAUUUCAAAAUGUGUACAAAAGAGCUAAACUGUCAAGCCUAACCUUAAAUUUAGUUCAUGCGUAUCUUAAAUGUUGUUGUUAGCUAACCCCCCUGACUCACGGGGACCCCAUGCACGAUGGAACGAAACCCUGCCUGGUCCUGUGCCAUCCCAUAAUCAGUUGCAGAUGGAACUUUUGUGAUUCAUAGAGUUUUCAGGGGCUGAUUUUUAGAAGUAGAUU